rnacentral:rRNA from 1 species
UACGGAGGGUGCGAGCGUUGUCCGGAAUCACUGGGCGUAAAGCGUGCGCAGACGGUUGCGUAAGUCAGAUGUGAAAGCCCCGGGCUCAACCUGGGAAUUGCAUUUGAGACUGCGUAGCUAGGGUGCGGAAGAGGGAAGCGGAAUUUCCGGUGUAGCGGUGAAAUGCGUAGAUAUCGGAAGGAACACCAGUGGCGAAAGCGGCUUCCUGGUCCAGCACCGACGUUCAGGCACGAAAGCGUGGGGAGCAAACAGG